GUCGGGAUAGCUCAGCGGGUAGAGCAGAG
rnacentral:tRNA from 1 species